rnacentral:rRNA from 1 species
UAAAGCGCGAGUAGGCGGCGAAGCAAGUUGGAUGUGAAAGCCCUGGGCUCAACCUAGGAUGUGCAGACAAAACUGCUGCGCUUGAAUCUCGGAGGGGGACAGGGAAUUCCCGGUGUAGAGGUGAAAUUCGUAGAUAUCGGGAGGAACACCAGUGGCGAAGGCGCUGUCCUGGACGAUGAUUGACGCUGAGGCGCGAAAGCGUGGGGAGCAAA